rnacentral:tRNA from 1 species
CAGAGAGUAGUUUAUAUAAAAUUUUAAUUUUGGAGAUUAAAGAUAAAGAGUAUUCUUUUUCUCUGA